rnacentral:rRNA from 1 species
GUACCCGCUGAACUUAAGCAUAUCGAUAAGCGGAGGAAAAGAAACUAACAAGGAUUCCCCUAGUAACGGCGAGUGAAGCGGGAAUAGCUCAAAUUUGAAAUCUCAUAGGUUUUACCUGUGCGAAUUGUAGUUUAAAGAAACGUUUUCGGGAGCGGCUUGGGUAUAAGUCCUUUGGAAAGAGGCACCUAAGAGGGUGACAGUCCCGUGCAUGAUCCAAUGUCCGCUUCUAUGUGAUACGUUCUCAAAGAGUCAGGUAGUUUGGGAUUGCUGCCUAAAAUGGGUGGUAAAUACCAUCUAAAGCUAAAUAUUGGCGAGAGACCGAUAGCGAACAAGUACCGUGAGGGAAAGAUGAAAAGAACUUUGAAAAGAGAGUUAAACAGUACGUGAAAUUGCCAAAAGGGAAACGCUUGGAACCAGUAUUGUUUGCAUGUAAUCAAGUACACGUUCCGCAAGGGUCGCGUGUGCUGCACUUGCGUGUAGACAGGCCAACAUCAGUUUGAUUUGAGGUACAAAGCCUGAGAAAGGUAGCUUGGACUUGUCUGAGUGUUAUAGUCUCUGGUCAUGCCUUGGAUUGGACUGAGGACUGCAGCGUUUUUUGGGUUACCCGAUGGCUGCUUGAAACCAACCUUUAGACAGCAUGCUGACUUUGGGCGGGCGUAGGGUACUCACUAGGAUAACCACACCAGCGCUUAGGAUGUCGGCGAAAUGGUUCCAAACGACCCGUCUUGAAACACGGACCAAGGAGUCUAACAUAUAUGCGAGUAUUUGGGUGGCAAACCCUUAUGCGAAAUGAAAGUAAAUUUGGUGCGAUCUUUAAUGCGCAGCAUCGACCGGUCUGGAUUCUUUUGAUAGAUCUGAGUAAGAGCAUACAUGUUGGGACCCGAAAGAUGGUGAACUAUGCCUGAAUAGGGUGAAGCCAGAGGAAACUCUGGUGGAGGCUCGUAGCGAUUCUGACGUGCAAAUCGAUCGUCAAAUUUGGGUAUAGGGGCGAAAGACUAAUCGAACCAUCUAGUAGCUGGUUCCCUCCGAAGUUUCCCUCAGGAU